GACGAACGCUGGCGGCGUGCCUAAUACAUGCAAGUCGAGCGCAGGAAACUGACGGAACUCUUCGGAGGGAAGGCAGUGGAAUGAGCGGCGGACGGGUGAGUAACACGUAAGGAACCUGCCUCAAGGAUUGGGAUAACUCCGAGAAAUCGGAGCUAAUACCGGAUAGUUCAACGGACCGCAUGGUCCGCUGAUGAAAGGCGCUCCGGCGUCACCUUGAGAUGGCCUUGCGGUGCAUUAGCUAGUUGGUGGGGUAACGGCCCACCAAGGCGACGAUGGAUAGCCGACCUGAGAGGGUGAUCGGCCACACUGGGACUGAGACACGGCCCAGACUCCUACGGGAGGCAGCAGUAGGGAAUCUUCCACAAUGGACGAAAGUCUGAUGGAGCAACGCCGCGUGAGUGAUGAAGGUUUUCGGAUCGUAAAACUCUGUUGUAAGGGAAGAACACGUACGAGAGGGAAUGCUCGUACCUUGACGGUACCUUACGAGAAAGCCACGGCUAACUACGUGCCAGCCGCCGCAGUAACAC
rnacentral:rRNA from 1 species